CCUACGGGAGGCAGCAGUGGGGAAUAUUGGGCAAUGGGCGCAAGCCUGACCCAGCAACGCCGCGUGAAGGAAGAAGGCUUUCGGGUUGUAAACUUCUUUUCUCAGGGACGAAGCAAGUGACGGUACCUGAGGAAUAAGCCACGGCUAACUACGUGCCAGCAGCCGCGGUAAUACGUAGGUGGCAAGCGUUAUCCGGAUUUACUGGGUGUAAAGGGCGUGUAGGCGGGACUGCAAGUCAGAUGUGAAAACCACGGGCUCAACCCGUGGCCUGCAUUUGAAACUGUAGUUACUGAGUACUGGAGAGGCAGACGGAAUUCCUAGGGUAGCGGGGAAAUGCGGAGAUAUUAGGAGGAACACCAGGGGCGAAGGCGGUCUGCUGGACAGCAACUGACGCUGAGGCGCGAAAGCGUGGGGAGCAAACAGGAUUAGAUACCCUGGUAGUC
rnacentral:rRNA from 1 species